rnacentral:rRNA from 1 species
CCUACGGGGGGCAGCAGUGGGGAAUCUUGCACAAUGGGGGAAACCCUGAUGCAGCAACGCCGCGUGAGUGAAGAAGUAUUUCGGUAUGUAAAGCUCUAUUAGCAGGGAAGAAGAUGACGGUACCUGAGUAUGCAGCCCCGGCCAACGACUAGCCAGCAGCCGCGGUCAUACGUAGGGGGCGAGCGUUAGCCGGAUUUACUGGGGGUAACGGGAGCGUAGACGGUGGGACAAGUCUGAAGUGAAAGCCCUGGGCUCAACCCCGGGACUGCAUUGGAAACUGGCUGACUGGAGUGCUGGAGAGGAAAGCGGAAUUCCUAGUGUAGCGGUGAAAUGCGUAGAGAUUAGGAAGAACACCAGUGGCGAAGGCGGCUUGCUGGACAGUAACUGACGUUGAGGCGCGAAAGCGUGGGGAGCAAACAGGAUUAGAUACCCGGGUAGUC